rnacentral:rRNA from 1 species
GACGAACGCUGGCGGCGUGCUUAACACAUGCAAGUCGAACGGUAAGGCCCUUCGGGGUACACGAGUGGCGAACGGGUGAGUAACACGUGGGUGAUCUGCCCUGCACUUCGGGAUAAGCCUGGGAAACUGGGUCUAAUACCGGAUAGGACUCCGGACUGCAUGGUCUGGGGUGGAAAGCUUUUGCGGUGUGGGAUGGGCCCGCGGCCUAUCAGCAUGUUGGUGGGGUGAUGGCCUACCAAGGUGACGACGGGUAGCCGGCCUGAGAGGGUGACCUGCCACACUGGGACUGAGAGACGGCCCAGAGUCCUACGGGGGGCAGCAGUGGGGAAUAUGGCACAAUGGGCGAAAGCCUGAUGCAGCGACGCCGCGUGAGGGAUGACGGCCUUCGGGUUGUAAACCUCUUUCAGCAUCGACGAAGCGAAAGUGACGAUAGGUGCAGAAGAAGGACCGGCCAACUACGUGCCAGCCGCCGCGGUAA